rnacentral:rRNA from 1 species
UACGGGGGGAGCAAGCGUUGUUCGGAAUCACUGGGCGUAAAGGGAGUCUAGGCGGUUUGGUAAGUGGGAUGUGAAAUCCCCGGGCUCACCCCGGGACCUGCAUCCCAAACUGCUGAGCUUGAGUACAGGAGAGGGUGGGGGAAUUCCAGGUGUAGCGGUGAAAUGCGUAGAUAUCUGGAGGAACACCGGUGGCGAAGGCGCCCACCUGGCCUGCUACUGACGCUGAGGCACGAAAGCGUGGGGAGCAAACAGG